AACGAACGCUGGCGGCAGGCCUAACACAUGCAAGUCGGGCGCGCCCUUCGGGGUGAGCGGCGGACGGGUGAGUAACGCGUGGGAACGUGCCCUUUGCUACGGAAUAGUCUCGGGAAACUGGGGGUAAUACCGUAUGUGCCCUUCGGGGGAAAGGAUUUAUCGGCAAAGGAUCGGCCCGCGUUGGAUUAGGUAGUUGGUGGGGUAAUGGCUCACCAAGGCGACGAUCCCUAGCUGGUCUGAGAGGAUGAUCAGCCACACUGGAACUGAGACACGGUCCAGACUCCUACGGGAGGCAGCAGUGGGGAAUAUUGCGCAAUGGGGGAAACCCUGAUGCAGCCAUGCCGCGUGUGUGAAGAAGGCCUGGUUGUAAGACACUUCUAGCGAGGAGG
rnacentral:rRNA from 1 species